rnacentral:lncRNA from 1 species
AGAGAACCCCAGGCUGGCUGUCUUCAUCACCCAAGGACCUAUGCAUUUUUCCUUCGGCUGUAUCUUCAGGUCAGUCCUGUAAUUUCCUCCAUUUGUUCCCCCGCCUCUACCAAAAGUGACCCAUUUGAACUCGAGAUAGCUGCUCCAGUGUAUUCCAGACAGAGGCAUCUUCCUGUCUUACAUCUGAAUACCGUCUGCUCACUCAAAGAUAACCACUUGACAGCGUGCUCUGAUAUUAAAUUCUUGGGGAAAGGAAAAGGUUUUGCUUGA